AAAAGAGAUGACAAAAAUUUCUAAGUUAAUUUUAAAUCCAUCAUUCAAACAGCCAAAGGACAGACUUCGGUAUACCACGGAGGGUAGACUUACUUAACAUACUUAGAGAAUUCAGGUAGAUGGUUUUCCCAGACAGAUAUAUGGAGUUCAGGUGUUAAAAGACAUAGCAGUAACACGAUCUGAGAAGGUCAGCAGUAAUCAAUGGAUUAGAUAUCUGGGCUCAGAUUAGGCAAGAUGUUGGCAUAGCUGAGUCUCAUUAUAAAUGUUCAGCUGUGUCCCAUAUUGCCACCUUUGGGUCUAAAUAAAUCAACAAACGGACAA